GGCAACAUGGCCGAGCGGUCUAAGGCGCCAGAAUUAGGUCUCUUAUUAAAUCUGGUCCUCCGGGGCGAGGGUUCGAACCCCUCUGUUGUCA